CAGUCGCCACGGUAAUACGAAGGGGGCUAGCGUUGUUCGGAAUCACUGGGCGUAAAGCGCACGUAGGCGGACACUUAAGUCAGAGGUGAAAUCCCAAGGCUCAACCUUGGAACUGCCUUUGAUACUGGGUGUCUUGAGCUCGGGAGAGGUGAGUGGAACUGCGAGUGUAGAGGUGAAAUUCGUAGAUAUUCGCAAGAACACCAGUGGCGAAGGCGGCUCACUGGCCCGAUACUGACGCUGAGGUGCGAAAGCGUGGGGAGCAAACAGGAUUAGAUACCCCUGUAGUCCCUGUCUCUUAUAC
rnacentral:rRNA from 1 species